CGCGCUGUCAGCGGCGCCCGGGCAGCGGGACGCUCCUCCAGGGGGCGGUUGGAGAAGGGGCUCUUCGGGCGCUCCCCAAAACACCAACCCAGGAGCCACAGGCGCUAGCUCUGGGCAGUUGGAGAGAAACUGGAAAAGGAAAUAAGAUCUGCAGUUCGGACUGGUGCCGGCCUGACAGUGUCUGCCUGUCUCCCGGAGUCCCAGCACCUCCACUCGCGCCUCGCAGCGACCGCCACACUCAGUGCAACUCUGAGUCCUUAUCCAGCCCGAGCUCAACACUUAUCUGCUACCAGUCAACCCCUAAAAAUAGCCCAUGAUGUCACCCCAAGGCCUUCGCAUUGGCUCGCGUCGCUCUCAAGGGGGCGGGCCCGCCCGUCGCCAUGGAGACCCCACCCUAGAAGAUUCUUCUCCGGACCCGCGGAGGCUCACGGGAUGAGGUUGUCAACUUGGAUACAUGCAUCCACAUCACAGUUGGAGUAAAGAGGCAGAAAUGAAAACUGAAAUACAAUUGUGCCUGCACCUGUUGUCUUUCAGAGGAUCCUCACAGCGGUCUUCUGAGUAAACUGAGGUUCAGAGUUGCACCCAGCUGCCCCUGCCCACUCUUGGUGAAUAAUUGCUGAAUAAAUGCUGGAAUGAGAGAACACAGGCUUGAAGAAGUCAUCACAAAAGCUGAGCUCCCACCAUGGACCAAGGCCCUGGGCCAAGACGGAUAAGAGGCCUGGAUUUACUCUCCCACCUGAAACAACCGAAAAGACCCGACAGUAUAUCAAACAGUGGUUCUCAGAGCACCAGCUAUCUGGAAAUGAAGCAGCGACCCCUGAAAGACAGGAAGCCAGUGAGGAAACUUCCCGCGUCUUUAUGUACCAACACCUGUGAUUAUGCAAAGCUUCGUUUAAAACCACAGUCCGUGUUCACAUCCAGAACAUAAACAAACUGAGGACUUGCUGUUCCAUGCCCUCCCUCCCAACUUUCCAAAAGAAUAUCUUCUCAACAUAAAGAGAGAUGCACUCUUCGUUUCUGUGGAAAACAAGUGCUCCUGGUUAUAUGAUCACAUACCCCUGAAACGGUUACGUUUCUUCAUGUGCUGCAUUUUAGAAGGCCCAUAAAAGAGUUCUUGUCGAGAGAAAACACAGCUGGUGCCCAAUUAGAGAGGUGAUCAAGACUAAUUGACCGCGAGAGCUCGUAAUGAAGCCAGACCCCACGCUGCUGAGAGAGAGACUGCGGCUGGGGAUGGAGGUGGCACCACUUGAUCACGCAAAGGCCAUGACUGAGAGGGGUGGAUGGUUUAUUCCGGGAGGCAGAGUUGGUCAUGUGGUGACCCCUGAAUUGAAGGUUUAAAGGCUGGCUCUGCAAGGCUGA